GAUGAACGCUGGCGGCGUGCCUAAUACAUGCAAGUCGAGCGAACGGACGAGAAGCUUGCUUCUCUGAUGUUAGCGGCGGACGGGUGAGUAACACGUGGAUAACCUACCUAUAAGACUGGGAUAACUUCGGGAAACCGGAUCUAAUACCGGAUGAUAUUUUGAACCGCAUGGUUCAAAAGUGAAAGACGGUCUUUCUGUCACUUAUAGAUGGAUCCGCGCUGCAUUAGCUAGUUGGUAAGGUAACGGCUUACCAAGGCAACGAUGCAUAGCCGACCUGAGAGGGUGAUCGGCCACACUGGAACUGAGACACGGUCCAGACUCCUACGGGAGGCAGCAGUAGGGAAUCUUCCGCAAAGGGCGAAAGCCUGACGGAGCAACGCCGCGUGAGUGAUGAAGGUCUUCGGAUCGUAAAACUCUGUUAUUAGGGAAGAACAUAUGUGUAAGUAACUGUGCACAUCUUGACGGUACCUAAUCAGAAAGCCACGGCUAACUACGUG
rnacentral:rRNA from 1 species